CAGUCGCCGCGGUAAUACGGAGGGAGCUAGCGUUGUUCGGAAUUACUGGGCGUAAAGCGCACGUAGGCGGUUAUUCAAGUCAGAGGUGAAAGCCCGGGGCUCAACCCCGGAACUGCCUUUGAAACUAAAUGACUGGAAUCUUGGAGAGGUCAGUGGAAUUCCGAGUGUAGAGGUGAAAUUCGUAGAUAUUCGGAAGAACACCAACGGCGAAAGCACUCUGCUGGGCCGACACUGACACUGAGAGACGAAAGCUAGGGGAGCAAAUGGGAUUAGAUACCCCUGUAGUCCCUGUCUCUUAUAC
rnacentral:rRNA from 1 species